rnacentral:rRNA from 1 species
GCUUGUCUCAAAGAUUAAGCCAUGCAUGUCUAAGUAUAACUCUUUUACUUUGAAAACUGCGAACGGCUCAUUAUAUCAGUUAUAGUUUCUUUGAUAGUCCCUUACUACUUGGAUACCCGUAGUAAUUCUAGAGCUAAUACAUGCAUCAAUACCCAACUGUUCGCGGAAGGGUGUAUUUAUUAGAUACAAAACCAAUGCCCUUCGGGGCUCCUUGGUGAUUCAUGAUAACUAUACGAAUCGCACGGCCUUGCGCCGGCGAUGGUUCAUUCAAAUUUCUUCCCUAUCAACUUUCGAUGUUUGGGUAUUGGCCAAACAUGGUUGCAACGGGUAACGGAGGGUUAGGGCUCGACCCCGGAGAAGGAGCCUGAGAAACGGCUACUACAUCCAAGGAAGGCAGCAG